GACGAACGCUGGCGGCGUGCUUAACACAUGCAAGUCGAACGAAGUGGCGAACGGGUGAGUAACGCGUAAUCAACCUGCCCUUCAGAGGGGGACAACAGUUGGAAACGACUGCUAAUACCGCAUACUGAAGGAGGGGAUUGCGUCUGAUUAGCUAGUUGGAGGGGGAACGGCCCACCAAGGCGAUGAUCAGUAGCCGGUCUUGGGGAAUGAACGGCCACAUUGGGACUGGGAAACGGGCCAGACUCCGACGGGAGGAAGCAGUGGGGAAUCGUCCGAAAUGGACGAAAGUCUGACGGGGCAACGCCGCGUGAGGGAUGACGGCCUUCGGGUUGGAAAGCUCUGUUAAUCGGGACGCGGUACCGGAAUAGAAAGCCACGGCUAACUACGUGCCAGCAGCCGCGGUAAUAC
rnacentral:rRNA from 1 species